AAUAGAUACCCUGGUAGUCCACGCCGUAAACGAUGAGUGCUAAGUGUUAGGGGUUUCCGCCCCUUAGUGCUGCAGCUAACGCAUUAAGCACUCCGCCUGGGGAGUACGGUCGCAAGACUGAAACUCAAAGGAAUUGACGGGGGCCCGCACAAGCGGUGGAGCAUGUGGUUUAAUUCGAAGCAACGCGAAGAACCUUACCAGGUCUUGACAUCCCGCUGACCGCUAUGGAGACAUAGUUUUCCCUUCGGGGACAGCGGUGACAGGUGGUGCAUGGUUGUCGUCAGCUCGUGUCGUGAGAUGUUGGGUUAAGUCCCGCAACGAGCGCAACCCUUGUUCUUAGUUGCCAUCAUUAAGUUGGGCACUCUAAGGAGACUGCCGGUGAUAAACCGGAGGAAGGUGGGGAUGACGUCAAAUCAUCAUGCCCCUUAUGACCUGGGCUACACACGUGCUACAAUGGACGGUACAAACGGUUGCGAAGUCGCGAGAUGGAGCUAAUCCGAUAAAACCGUUCUCAGUUCGGAUUGUAGG
rnacentral:rRNA from 1 species